rnacentral:rRNA from 1 species
GACGAACGCUGGCGGCGUGCUUAACACAUGCAAGUCGAACGGAAAGGCCCUGCUUUUGUGGGGUGCUCGAGUGGCGAACGGGUGAGUAACACGUGAGUAACCUGCCCUUGACUUUGGGAUAACUUCAGGAAAGUGAGGCUAAUCCCGGAUAGGAGCCCCUGCUGCAUGGUGGGGGUUGGAACGUUUCGGCGGUUGUGGAUGGACUCGCGGCUUAUCAGCUUGUUGGUGGGGUAGUGGAUUACCAAGGAUUUGACGGGUAGCCGGCCUGAGAGGGUGAACGGGCACAAUGGGACUGAGAUACGGCCCAGACUCCUACGUGGGGCAGCAGUGGGGAAUAUUGCACAGUGGGAGGAAGCCUGAUGCAGCGACGCCGCGUGCGGGAUGCCGGCCUGCGGGUAGUAAACCGCAUUCGCCUGUGACGAAGCGUGAGUGACGGUAAUGAGUAAAGAAGCACCGGCUAACUACGUG